UUGCACUAACUUUUGCGGAGUUCUUGAAGGGAGCGAAGCUAUCGGAAGUCCGUGAGAAUCGGACGCGGUCGCGCCGCUGUAACCGGCUACAAAGCCCCCAAGCCACUGUUGAGCUCACGCGAAACGGGAAGGCCGGGCCGAGGUCUGAAGCCGGAAGCCAGAAGACGGGCUUCUCUCCCAGUAACUCA
rnacentral:ncRNA from 2 species